UUGACAACCCUGAUAGCCUCUUUAUCUAUAAAACAAGUGCAACCCAGGCACUGGCAACAAAAGCUUCUGCCAUGCUGGUGUCUGAGGAAUUGCCUCCACCCUGACCAGGAGAGACUGUCUCUAGGGCUGAGGAGGAGAGCAUUUCCUUGGUCUCUUCAGUCUUUGACCUCU
rnacentral:sRNA from 1 species